GAAACAAGAUACAGGCUAGCGGCGGACGGGUGAGUAACACGUGGGUAACCUGCCAAGAGAUCGGGAUAACACCUGGAAACAGAUGCUAAUACCGGAUAACAACAGAUGAUGCCUAUCAACUGUUUAAAGAUGGUUCUGCUAUCACUCUUGGGAUGGACCUGCGGUGCAUUAGCUAGUUGGGUAGGGGUAACGGCCUACCAAGGCGAUGAUGCGUAGCCGAGUUGAGAGACUGAUCGGCCACAUUGGGACUGAGACACGGCCCAAACUCCUACGGGAGGCAGCAGUAGGGAAUCUUCCACAAUGGACGCAAGUCUGAUGGAGCAACGCCGCGUGAGUGAGGAAGGGUUUCGGCUCGUAAAGCUCUGUUGUUGGUGAAGAAGGACAGGGGGUAGUAACUGACCUUUGUUUGACGGUAAUCAAUUAGAAAGUCACGGGCUAACUACGUGCCAGCAGCCGCGGUAAAU
rnacentral:rRNA from 1 species